CCUACGGGUGGCUGCAGUGAGGAAUAUUGGUCAAUGGGCGCGAGCCUGAACCAGCCAAGUCGCGUGAGGGAAGACGGCCCUACGGGUUGUACACCUCUUUUGCCGGGGAGCAACGGUCGCCACGUGUGGCGCCACUGCGAGUACCCGCAGCAACAGCAUCGGCUAACUCCGUGCCAGCAGCCGCGUGACUACGGAGUAUGCGAGCUUUAUCCGGAUUUAUUGGGUUUAAAGGGUGCGUAGGCGGAGCGUUAAGUCAGUGGUAAACGUGCGGGGCUCAACCCCUUCCCGCCAUUGAAACUGGCGAUCUUGAGUGGAAGAGAAGUAUGCGGAAUGCGUGGUGUAGCGGUGAAAUGCAUAGAUAUCACGCAGAACCCCGAUUGCGAAGGCAGCAUGCCGGCUUCCGACUGACGCUGAAGCACGAAAGCGUGGGGAUCGAACAGGAUUAGAUACCCGGGUAGUC
rnacentral:rRNA from 1 species